rfam:Acidobacteria bacterium RIFCSPLOWO2_12_FTLL_66_10 rifcsplowo2_12_scaffold_20646, whole genome shotgun sequence.
CUGACCGAGUCGGAAGACUCGGUGACCGCGGCGCAGAAGUCAGCCGAGGGCAUAGUAGGUCGCGGUGGCCGAAGGCC